rnacentral:tmRNA from 1 species
GGGGCUGACUUGGAUUUCGACAGAUUUCUUGUCGCACAGAUAGCAUGCCAAGUGCUGCUUGUAAAACAGCAACAAAAAUAACCGUAAACAACGCAGAUUACGCUCCAGCUUACGCUAAAGCUGCGUGAGUUAAUCUCCUUUUGGAGCUGGACUGAUUAGAAUUUCUAGCGUUUUAAUCACUCCAUAACCUUAAGCUAGACGCUUUUAAAAGGUGGUUCGCCUUUUAAACUAAGAAACAAGAACUCUUGAAACUACCUCAAGGUUUUAGAAAGUUGGACCAGAGCUAGUUUUAAGGCUAAAAAGCUAACCAAUUUUCUAAGCAUUGUAGAAGUUUGUGUUUAGGACAAGAUUUUUGGACUGGGGUUCGAUUCCCCACAGCUCCACCA